rnacentral:piRNA from 1 species
UGCACCACUAUGUCCUACUAAUUUUACCUA